GACGAACGCUGGCGGCGUGCCUAAUACAUGCAAGUCGAGCGAAGUUUUUCUGGUGCUUGCACCGGAAAAACUUAGCGGCGAACGGGUGAGUAACACGUAAAGAACCUGCCUCAUAGACUGGGACAACUAUUGGAAACGAUAGCUAAUACCGGAUAACAGCAUUAACUGCAUGGUUGAUGUUUAAAAGUUGGCUUUGCUAACACUAUGAGAUGGCUUUGCGGUGCAUUAGCUAGUUGGUGGGGUAAAGGCCUACCAAGGCGACGAUGCAUAGCCGACCUGAGAGGGUGAUCGGCCACACUGGGACUGAGACACGGCCCAGACUCCUACGGGAGGCAGCAGUAGGGAAUCUUCCGCAAUGGGCGAAAGCCUGACGGAGCAACGCCGCGUGAGUGAAGAAGGAUUUCGGUUCGUAAAGCUCUGUUGUUAGGGAAGAAUGAUUGUGUAGUAACUAUACACAGUAGAGACGGUACCUAACCAGAAAGCCACGGCUAACUACGUG
rnacentral:rRNA from 1 species